rnacentral:rRNA from 1 species
AUUGAACGCUGGCGGCAGGCCUAACACAUGCAAGUCGAGCGAGCGGCGGACGGGUGAGUAAUGUAUGGGGACUGCCCGAUAGAGGGGGAUAACUACUGGAAACGGUGGCUCAUACCGCGUACUGUCUGAUUACCCAUAUGGGAUUAGCUAGUAGGUAAGGUAAUGGCUUACCUAGGCGACGAUCCCGAGCUGGUCUGAGAGGAUGAUCAGCCACACUGGGACUGGGACACGGCCCAGACUCCUACGGAGGCAGCAGUGGGGAAUAUUGCACAAUGGGCGCAAGCCUGAUGCAGCCAUGCCGCGUGUAUGAAGAAGGCCUUAGGGUUGUAAAGUACUUUCAGUCGGGAGGCGUUACCGACAGAAGAAGCACCGGCUAACUCCGUGCCAGCAGCCGCGGUAAUAC